CCAUUAGAAUAGUCCCUAUAAGU
rnacentral:piRNA from 1 species